rnacentral:tRNA from 1 species
CAGGGAGACAACAAAAUGUUAAAUAUUAAUUUUGUCACCUUAGGUCGAUCGGUAUCUCACAUUCUUUAAUUUAUUUAUUAAGAAUUUCAUUUCCUAAGUUUUUUCUAGGUCACACCCAUUACUUUUCCUGGGCCAUUAGCUCAGGUGGUUAGAGCGCACCCCUGAUAAGGGUGAGGUCCCUGGUUCAAGUCCAGGAUGGCCCAUAUCUCUAUGUUGGGGGUAUAGCUCAGUUGGUAGAGCGCCUGCUUUGCAAGCAGGAUGUCAGCGGUUCGAGUCCGCUUACCUCCACUGAUCACCACCUCUUCCAUAAAUUUAUGGAGGGAAAUGUUUUGAGUUGUGAUCAAAUUCUGAACGACUCUAGCUUCCUAAUAAAACUUAUUAAGAUGCUGGAUUCAUUGAAUUAAUUUCAUUGUUUUCAGAGAACCUUGACAACUGCAUAGAUUAUUUUAAAGACAAUAAGCAUCUUUAAUGAUGCAGAUUUAUUAUUUGUGCGAAUGCAUUAAUAACAAUUCUAUUAAGCUGAUGCUUCAA